rnacentral:rRNA from 1 species
CAUGGUUGUCGUCAGCUCGUGUCGUGAGAUGUUGGGUUAAGUCCCGCAACGAGCGCAACCCCUACGUUUAGUUGCUAACGCGUGAAGGCGAGCACUCUAGACGAACUGCCGUUGACAAAACGGAGGAAGUGGGGAUGACGUCAAAUCAUCAUGCCCCUUAUGUUCUGGGCUACACACGUGCUACAAUGGCCGGUACAGACGGACGCAAAGCCGCGAGGUGGAGCAAAUCCUAAAAAGCCGGUCUCAGUUCGGAUUGCAGGCUGCAAUUCGCCUGCAUGAAGUCGGAAUCGCUAGUAAUCGCAGGUCAGCAUACUGCGGUCGAAUACGUUCCGGGCCUU